rnacentral:lncRNA from 1 species
GCUCUCUCAUCCAUCACCUUCUUGCUAUAGUCAAGGCUCUAAUGUGAAAUAUCUGAUAGGAUGACAACGGCAGCUGCAAGCCCAGAACACGUAAGUGUUUCUCUCUCCAUUUGAUGAUACCUUGCGAGCCUCACUGUAAUUCACCAUAAGUGCUUUGCUUUUAGCCAGCGUAACCUAUAGUUGGGGAGGCAAUUCCAGUGGAGAGGGAGGGCCUGUGUGCUUGGAGCAAAAACAACAACAGAAACCCCAAACAGAAAUGAAAGGAAACAUUAUUAAAAAACAUUUUCUGGACAUUUGGUAGCGCACAUUUUGGCUGCUGCAGCUUAAAGCAAUUAAUUCAGGAUACUGACAUUAACUCUCUAGCUCAUUGACAGCUUGGAGCUGGGACUAAAAAUGCUAGUUCUCCAGGGAAAAGAGGCGGCUAGUUGGCUCUUUUUCUGGACUGUUUGCUUAUAGGCCCAGAGAGCAAUCUUCCUUGCAGAAUGAAAUGCAAGGACACAAACAAUGUCCCAGGGAGAGAAUGGGAGAUGGGAGUGAACAGUUUGAACUAUUUGCUCAGCAGAAGGGCAGCCACAAUUGCCGGCCAAUGGCUUUCCCAUGCAUCAGCCGGGGCUUCUUAGCCUCUUUUGUUGUUCUUCUACUUCCUUCGGCCAGAUAAGAACACAGCUGCAGAGAGUCCAGCUAACUUUGGGCCUGGCUUUAUUCACAAAAGUCUCCAUUCAUGUUUACUGUAUUUAUUUGCUGCAUAAGUUCCUGUCCUGUUUUUUUUGAAAUGUAGGUUUCAUUUUCCCACUCCGAAAUGAGAACUAUAUUCUGUAAAAGAAAAUAAAAUAAAAUUGCAGCUUCUUGUCGUAUUUGUGCUACUUCCCAUUUCCUUUGCUUUCUUAGAGAGAUGGAAAGAGUCUCAGAGAGGUUUUAACCAGAUCCCCCACUAAAAUUGCUUAGUGUUCCAGCCAAAAUUAAACAAUAUCAAUUUUGUCGAUUUUGAGUGAGUAGUACACAGUCUCCGCCAUUUACAGUGUUUACCUGGGGCUGGAUCAGGCCGCAUUCUGCAGAACAUUUCAUGAAAUGUGCAUAAGACUGCAGGUUUAAGUCCUCAAAAUUCCGGUUAAUUUUUCUUUGUUUAGUGCUAAAAAAAUGUCUGUAGGAUGGAAAACACUUUCAAUGCCAGUCUACCAUACUGAAUAGGAAUGCAAUGGGUUUUCAGCAGUGCCCUAUUUCGUGCUUCAUUGAAAAAGCGAAGAGAUUUCAGAGGUGGUUAUAUGGCAAUCAGAUAAAAUUCUCUUGAGGAAUAAUCAUCAUAUGUGGUGUGAAACAUGAAGCGUAGGGUGUCAAAUGGACCCCCCUCCUGCUCAGUAAUUGCCCGCACAUAAAAGACACCCACACGAUAGCUUAUAUAUGCACACAGACAUUUAUAGAUCCCUCACAUAUAAUGCUUCCACAUAUGCAAAAUAACUUAUCACAGAUACAUAUACACGAGGACACAGGGUUAUAUAAAAAACACAGGGUUCUCAUAUAGAAAACUGAAUUGAUUUUGGGGUAUUAAAAAUGUAAAUGUCCCAAGUACGCAUACAGUGCCACCUGUUUGUGAAUGAAUGGUAUGUGUGCAUUUACAUAUUUUUCCUACGUUAAAAGAUUUAUAUGCUGUUUUUCAUGAAAAAUGCCACUGCAGUGUGAUACGGGCACAUUCUUCCACAAUAAUGCAGAACCAAAAGUAAUGAAAGUAUCUGUACACCACCCACAAUUGGGGAAACCCAACCAUUUACAUUUAUGUAAAUGGUUACGUGUGAGUAUUAUGAUAGUUGUUACCAUAUUUUGCUAUUUUCUUUCUAGUAUUUUCUUAACCACAGUUUAAAAUAUAACAUGUGAACUGUUUGCACUAGCGGACUUGUGCAAGUGGUCUGACUUCUGUGUUAGCUUUUUAUAUUUGGUCCAGAACUUCCAGUUCACUGAGUAUCUGAUUUCUGGUCAGAUCUGCAUGGAGUGCUUAAAUACUAAAGCUACUAAUGAUCUGUUAUGUGGAAUGAAAACCAGGGAAAUUGCCUUUCAUGUAAACCAACAUAAGCAUUUGUGCUGAUUUUUGUAUAGGUUUCCAUGUCUUGACUUCUGUACUUCUAUAGUAUCACCAAUGUACAGUGCUUUACAGCAUAACAUCAGUGAAAAGCAUAGGGCUCUUCUUCCUCCAAAUUUAAAUCCCAGAUAGCUUGUUAGAAGAUUAAUUAAACUUGAAUGAGUGUAAAAUGAGGUAGAAAGUCAUUUUUUAAAAGCAACACGAGAGAGUGAUUUACUGUGAACAAAUUGAACAUUCUCAGUCAAUGUGUAACCUCACAGGAAACACAAUGUUUGCACACCACUUUUUCCAGUGUGAAACCUCUGAAACUGCAGGGAUUUUUCCUCUACUGGGUGGUCAGGAGGCAAGGCUGAAAGGCAAAAGAACUCCUAUUGUCCUCUGCUGUGUCUUAACAGCUGACCUCACGUGUCUCUAAAAAGAAGAAAGCACCUGUUUAUCUCCAGUUAUCCCCUGCUUCUAUGAGCACCAAGCUACCCCCACAGAGAGAGGGUCCUUGGCUGGCGGGGGCGGGGGGAGUAUCUCUAAAAGUGCUUUGAAAACCCCCACAUCAGCCCUGAUCCAGACAGAGUCAUACACUGAUCAAGACAUUGUUUCAGGAUGCUCACUUCCAAUAUGGCUGGAAAUCUUUGCCCACUCUGUCUCUGUCACCACAUCCUGAGUAGUCCUGAAGACACCUCCAGUCUGAGCAGGGGGUUCUCAUUCAUCAAGGGGAUCCACAUGUAGAAACCUGUUAGUCAGGUCCUUUGCUUCUCUCAUUAAAGGACAGAAUUUCACAUUAUGCAAAACAUGAGGCUGCUAUGGCGGGGGGAUUUCAAUGUGAUUUCUCUCCCUCCUAAUAUAGCAGAUCAUUCAUGUGAUGUCACUGCAAGGUACCAUUUUCCCCUCCCCCUCCACAUCAUAACUGCUGCUGGUGGGGACCGGGGAUACCUGAAAUGAUAACAAAACCUUAACAUGUGCCGCUUAUCUGGGAAAGGAGGAGAGCAUUUAAUUAACCAGACAUAAUGAUUGCUGGAUGUUCUUUAUAGGUAGUUACUUAUGAUGCUAAUUUCCAAAACAGGAGGCAAUGAGAGACUGCUGAGUCCCUAAUGAUUGAAUUAAAGGAGCAAAUACAGUUAUGCAGCGUUUAAAUUAGGGGUGACACUUAUGUCAAGUGUAUGUUUAAUAAAUAUGAUCAGGAUAGGGUUUUAAUCAGGAUUUCCACUCGGGUUAAACUAGAUAAAACCCAUAUAAGCUCUAAAAGGAUUGGAGAGCGGGCCUGGAAGAAACCUUCCUAAUAGAAAGGACAUCAACAGGUUUGGCAGGAAACUCGCAUCGCCCCCCUCACUUCCUGAAGAUACAAAGCAGCCUCACCCUGCAUAGUCAACAUGCCAGACUGGCCUCUGGAAUGCUGGCUUCAGCUCCAUGCUAGCAUAGGCAGGACUGGGCACAGAAUCUAUGGCUAUCCACACCGCACCUUUAAAGUAUGUAGCUUCGCCCAAAGAAUAAUGGGAACUGUAGUUUGUCAAGGGUGCUGCAGCGCUGUGGAGGGGAGCAAGCAGCAGUGCACAGGAUUCUUGGGGGGAAGCCAUGGGCUUUAAACUAUGGUGUGGAUGUUUUAUAUGCAUUUAAUUUUACAAUAUCUGUAUACCACACAAUCGAUAUCAUUCAAUAAUAAGAUCAGAGUUAAAUGUGGGUAAUGACAGAGAUUGACAAAUCCCAUGAAACAUAUCCUGACACGGGAGAAGUAUUAAUAUCCUGCUAAUCCAGGAGGAUUCUUGCAGCAAGGGAGAUGAGCAGCCUCUUUAACAACCUUCUUCAGAUUACCAGGUGCUGUUAAUGACAAAAACCAUACUCAGGCUGUAUCAACUGCAAUGCUCCUAGCUCCCUUCCCUUAAUGGUAAAGGGGUAUUAGAAGCUUAGAGAAUGAAAUAUACUCAGAGUCGCAAAGUGAUUUCAUGCUCUUUAUUCAGCUCAUAGUGGUGAGGAGGAAUGAAUGAAUGUCCCCUCAAAGUAUCUGCUUUAUAUACAUUAUUUACACAAUGGGCUGCACAUGAUUGGUUAAUUCUGGAAUUCUACUGUAAGCCAAUCAGGUUGUGGAUUCACUUAUAUCUGGAGCAUGAUUGGGUGGUUCCUGCCAACCAAUCAUACUGCUGCAUUGUUCUUGGACCAAUCAGACUGCUGCAUUCUGAAUCCUAUUGUUCUAGGACCAAUCAGACUGCUGCAAUUUGGAUCCUAUUGUUCUAGGACUGCUGCAGUUUGGAUCCUAUUCAACUCAGUACAUAACACCCCUCCCCUCUAAGUUCCAGUCCUGCCCGGGAGGUCGCAUUCAUAGUCCUCGAGGUACGCCGGCGGCCUACGUGUGCGUUGCGGCCUGUGGUGUUCAGGUUCUGGCUCGUGUUCCAAGGAUGCUGGCUGUGAUGGGCCUGUUUGGUCUGGCGCAACCGGCUCGCUCAGUCGUGGUUCUGGUUCCGGUGUCCUUUCGGCCUCGCGGGUCCUCUCUGUAUUUACUGAUUCUGCCUCUCCUGCUGGCCCCUCCUGCUCUAUGGGCCUCACUGCCCCUCUGUUCCCUUGGGACUCCUCAGACCUUUCCUCCUCCUGGUUUUCUCCUGGGAAUCGUCGCCGUAUCUGGUCGCAGUGGCGGCGCCAGCAUUGCCCCCAUCCGUUAGCACCUCGUACGACACGGGGCCAGUGACCCUGGUGACUGUGGCGGGUACCCAUGCUGGGCCUGCCCCAAAAUUCUUUGCGUACACUGGGUCCUGGGCCUCGAAGGUCCGGGGGUCCUGCCUUCCCCCACCACUACCUCAUCCUGAGCUCUAUCGGGGUGAAGGCGGUCCAAUCUGAUUGCAAGGCGCCGACCCAUUAGUAGUUCAGCGGGGCUCCGGCCAGUCGUUGAGCUGGGGGUGCUGUGCUGUGCUAGGAGGAAUGUGGCAAGGCGGUACUCCCAAUCCCCUUGCGUCAUGCGGCGAAGGGUGUCCUUGGUGGUCCGCACCAUGCGUUCUGCUUGGCCAUUGGUGGCAGGGUGGAAUGGCGCCGAACGGAUGUGGCGGAUGGCGUUCUGCGCUGUGAAGGUUUGGAAUUCUCCUGACGUAAAUGCAGUCCCGUUGUCUGAGACGAGAGUGUCAGGGAGCCCGUGGGUUGCAAACAGCCUGCGUAGUACCCGGAUGGCUGCGGAUGUAGAAGUGGACGGUACCAGUGCGACUUCCAGCCAUUUGGUGUAGGAGUCCACCACUAUGAAGAAUGUUUGUCCCUGAAAGGGGCCAGCGAAGUCCACAUGCAGGCGUGACCAUGGUGCUCGGGCGGACUCCCAGGACUGGACUGGGGCCCUUGGGGGAUCUGGGCGGGAUUCUUGGCAGGCCUGGCAGUGUUUGACCCAGGCCUCUAUCUCUCCGUCGAUCCCUGGCCACCACACAUAACUCCUGGCAAGGGCCUUCAUUCUUACUACCCCUGGGUGUGUCUCGUGUAGGGCUGUGAGGACCCUUUUGCGGAGGGGCUGGGGAACAACGACCCUGCUUCCCCAUAACAGGCACCCCUUGUGGGCCGACAGUUCAUGUUUGCGGGUUGUGUAGCCAGCGAAUUCUGGCCCAGGGCUGCUGCUGGGCCAUCCCCUCCAUACCCAGUCCAGGACCCGGGAGAUGACCCUAUCUUUCUUGGAAUGGUGUGCAACUUCUUGUGCCUGAAUGGGGCGGUCGGGAAGCAGCUCCAGGCUCAUAACCUCUUGUGCAGGUGCUGGGUCGGGGCCUGUUUCCGGUAGUGGUAGCCUGCUGAGGGCGUCUGCAUGGCCCAUUGCCUUCCCGGGCGGUGAAUCAGUGCAUACUGGUAGCUGGCAAGGAAAAUUGACCACCUGAGGACGCGAGGAGACAGCACUUGGGGGGUCUGCUUUUCGGGGGCAAACAAGCCAAGCAACGGCUUGUGGUCAGUCACCACAGUGAAGGGCCGCCCGUACAAGAAAUCAUGGAAUUUUUUUACUCCCUUCACGAUUGCCAGACCCUCCUUGUCUAUUUGCGAGUAGUUCCGCUCGGUUGCGUUGAGUGUCUGGGAAAAGUAUGCCACCGGUACCUCUCUUCCAUCCGGGAGUUGGUGUCCCAGGACAGCGCCAAUGCCAUAGGGCGAGGCGUCGCAUGCUAGCACCACCGGCAGCCUCUCGUCGAAGUGUGCCAAGACCGAGUUUGAGACAAGCAAGUCCUUGACUGCCUGGAAUGCAGCCUCCUGGCGCUGGCCCCACACCCAAGGGGCCCGCUUGUCCAGGAGUCUGUGUAGGGGCUCUGCUACCGCCGCCUUGUGAGGAAGGAAGGAAUGGUAAAAGUUCAAUAGUCCCAAGAAGGCCUGAAGUUCAGUCUUGCUCUUGGGCGCUGGGGCAUCACAAAUGGCCCGUACCUUGUCCCCAGUCGGGUGGACCCCUUCUGCGUCCACCAUAAAUCCCAGAAAGUCCACCUGAGGCACUCCUAGUAGACAUUUUUCCCGCUUCACCUUGAGACCCGCCGUCUGGAAACGGUGCAGAACAGUGCGGAGGCGGUCCUCAAACUCCUCUGGUGUGGGCCCGGCAAUCAACACAUCAUCGAAGAAGGGGGGUGACGCCAGGAAUCCCUUUAAGGAGGGAGUCCAUUAGAUUCUGGAAUAUGCCUGGUGCCACGCUGACACCGAAUUGCAGCCGCUUUACCCUGAACGCUCCUCUGUGCGUCACAAUCGUCUGUGCCUCUGCUGUGGCCUCAUCUACUGGCAGCUGUUGAUAUGCUUGGGCCAAGUCCAGCUUGCCAAAAUUUUCGACCCAGCCAGGGUGGCAAGGACAUGGCUGACCACUGGCACUGGGUAUGCGUGGGCCGUGAGGGCCUUGUUUAUGGUACAUUUGUAGUCUGCGCAGAUGCGGACCGAACCAUUAGGCUUGACGGGUGUGACGAUUGGGGUUUCCCAGGGGCAUUAGGCACCGGCUCCAGCACUCCUUGCUCCACGAGUCGGUCCAAUUCCUCGUCUAUACGGGGUUUCAAGGCGAACGGGACCCGGCGGGCCUUGAGCCUGACCGGUCGUACUGCGGGGUCAAGCUGUAGCGCAAUGGGGGCCCGUAUACUGUCCCAAUUUCCCAUCGAAAACCCCUGGAAAUUCCUUGCAUAUGGCGUCCACGUCCACUUGUAAGCUAGUGUGGUUCACCCCGGUGACAGCUAGCCCCAGUGGUCCAAACCAUGCCAAUCCCAGUAAGCUAAUGUAGGGGCCCUUGACCACAAGCAAGUCCAGUUGCCGCGUCCGCCCUCGGUAUUGCACCCUGAAGGUCCCCACCCCCAUUGUGGGGACCUUACGUUUCUGGAAGUCCCGUAGGGUGAAUGGGGCCGGCCUGAGUUUGGGACCCCCAGUAGGACACAGUUUCCUUAAGGUCCUUGCCGAGAUUAUGGAUAGAGUUGAACCCGUGUCAAGCUCCAUGCGGCAUGGGGCCCCUCUAUCUGUACCUCUACAUAAAUUUUCUCUACGUUGGGGUGGGGCAACUGGUAUACCUGGCAGUCCGUGAGCUCCGUCGAGUUGCCUUGGUGCGUUGGGCCCCGGGACCUGGGGCUCUUGGAUUGGUCAUCUGAUGCCUGGUGUCGGGUGGGCCGAGCCCGACACACCCGGGCGAUGUGUCCCGAUUUUCUGCACUGCCUGCACUCUGCGUUGCGGAAACGGCAGGUCCUCCUCUCGUGACUCUCCCCGCAGCUUGCGCAGUUCCCUCCUUCUCGUCGAGGCAGCUGUGGUCUGUGCGCUGCUUGAGUGCGCUGCUGUACUCGGUGCACCUCCUCCCUGUCGGAUCCUGAGUCGUCUGUGAGGUCUUCGUGGUGGACCCUCGGUUGGGAUGGCAGGCUCGGCCGUGCCUCUUGCGUCGACCUCUCGGCAGCUUCCGUUGCCAGGGCCUCCUCCAGAGCGACCUGGAACGUUAGGUCCUUCUUAGCGUAGAGGCGUCGUUGCAGCUUCUCAUCCUUCAGGCCACCGACGAGGCGGUCCCGAAGCAUGUUCUCUAGCUCUGAGAAGUUGCAGAACCGGGCGGCUUGGCGGAGAGAGGUCACAAACCCAGUUAUGGUUUCCCCAGGGGCUUGCCGCUUUGCGUAGAAGGCAUUUCGACGAGCCACCACUGAGGGCUGCGGCGAAAAGUGCCCCUUCAGCUGUUCCAUUAUUGUUUUGUAUGGAACAGUAGCGACGUCUUCAGGCGCAAGGAGAGCCCGGGCGAUUUCAAACGUCUCCUCUCCGCAGACGCUGAAGAAUAUCGCCCUCUUCUUGGCGUCUUCUUCGUCGGUGACCCCUUUGGCUUCUAGGAGGAAGGUGAAACGGGAGGCGUACGCUUCCCAGUCUCCAGAUGCUGGGUUGAAUGGCGAGAAGCUGCUGUUGGCUGCCAUUCUGAGUUCCUUGUGUCCCGGAGCUGAAGCCUGGAUACACGGUGCGAGGCAGCGGUGCGGCAGGUGGCGGUGCUGCGGUGCUGUGUGUGGCAGUCAGCUCAGCGGGAUCCCACCCUCGUCGCCAGUGAAAUAUACUCAGAGUCGCAAAGUGAUUUCAUGCUCUUUAUUCAGCUCAUAGUGGUGAGGAGGAAUGAAUGAAUGUCCCCUCAAAGUAUCUGCUUUAUAUACAUUAUUUACACAAUGGGCUGCACAUGAUUGGUUAAUUCUGGAAUUCUACUGUAAGCCAAUCAGGUUGUGGAUUCACUUAUAUCUGGAGCAUGAUUGGGUGGUUCCUGCCAACCAAUCAUACUGCUGCAUUGUUCUUGGACCAAUCAGACUGCUGCAUUCUGAAUCCUAUUGUUCUAGGACCAAUCAGACUGCUGCAAUUUGGAUCCUAUUGUUCUAGGACUGCUGCAGUUUGGAUCCUAUUCAACUCAGUACAUAACAGAGAAGCAAAUGUUCUUCUGUCUCCUUUCUUCACUCCAUAAGAUGUUCCUGCCGCAGCUCAUGAUACUGUUGCCCAGGGCUGGCUGAAGACGUUUUGGCACCUGGGGCAAACCACAAAAUGGUGCCCCCUUCCCUGGCCAGGAAAGAAGGGGUGAGUGAAGAGUUACAUCUGAAAUAAGGUACUGACUUCUUCUACCCCUUCAUAGGUGCCAGCUCCCUGAGGGCCUGUGUGCCUGAGCACCCACAAAGUUCCCCAUGAAGAGGCUGGGCACCCACGGCCCCAGGCACCCACAGUUGUGGGGCCAAGUUGGCACUCCUCUACCUCUUUUCCCUUAGAGCUUUCUCUCUACUCUGAUCAUCUAAGGAUUGGAGAAGUUCAGCCAAUCAGUUACUGCCAGAGGCUUCAUUACCAAUGCCACGCCUCCAUCAGCUAGCAGAUUAAACUCCUGAUUUGGGGGGGGGUCUCUUUGCUUUUUUAAUGGGGCAUUUAUACUUUCAAUUUCUUCAAAUGUACUGCCAAAAAAGGGUUCCCCUGUACUUUCUUAUGAUAUAAUGUGCCUUUUCUGUUUUAGGAAGUAAGCUGAAGUGGCAUUGAUGGCUCCACAGUCAAGGACUGCAGCAAGAGGCCAAGUCUUGAGUACCAUUCUUAGCACACCUGACUUUUGAACUUAGCAAAGGUAUGCAACGUCAAUGUGAUUUCUGAGAGAGAAUGUUUCCAGCACACUGUAAUCAAAUGCGGCUUUGCUGAUGGAUUGCUCAGUUAUAUUUCCACCAUUGCAUAUGAGUAAAAACAAUAGUCCUGAAGCAAGACUUUGGUUUUAGAUGAUGCACCAUGUGUCAUAGAGGGCUUUACCUGCAUUCCUUACACAUGAGAAAUGUCACAGUGGUUGUGAGAAAAUGUAUAUCUAACUCGAAGAUGGAACCCACAUUGCUCUAGAAAGCACAAUUCUGAACUAUAGCUAGAAAAAAGUCAUGUUUCUUUGAGACCGUACAUACUGAAUGGACACUCUACAUUACCCGGAGCAUGUACAAAAUUCAGUUAAGCUAUGCACAUUCCACAACACUUUAUGUAUAUUGACCAGGAAAUGUGCACGAUUCCCUCUUCAUGGGCAGACUAAGUGCACAUUCCCCAUGAGGCUUGGUGAAUUCAUACAAUGGCUCAUUGCUAUGACUAUUAACUGUUCAAUUUACACCCCCCUUUAACAUAUACAUAGACACAUCAUAUUCUCUCUCAUGCAUACACAUAUUUGACUUUAAUGCUGCCUGAUUAUAAAGGUACCCCUUUCUCAGCGCAUAGCACAGAAGCACAGCAAAUUUCCCAUGGAAGAAAAGAGUGAUCUUCCUCCAUGGCCGGCUCCCUUGUUUUCCAUGUUGCAAACUGAAAAGGGGCUCCCUUUGUCUUCUCUCAAAUUCACAAACGCCAACUUGAGAAAAAGAUGGGGGGCAUGCGCGUGCGCGAUGACACACACAUGGUGCAGGGACGCAGAGGUGCUGGAGGAGCCAAGGGGCAGUAUGGCUUCAAUGGUUGGCAGCUUGUCUUUUCUGGUGCUCAGUUUCCUCCUCCUGCCACCACCACCAGCCCAUGGCAGGAGGAGGAAGAGGAGGGGCCACAGGCUCUCCCUGCUGUACUUGGCUCUGCGAUAGGCCUCCUCUGCAACGGAUUGUUCUCAACAUUGGGGGCCUCAUAGAGUUGGCACCUCUGCUCAGGCUGGAGGGGCAAUCUGAUUUGGAAGCUGUUUUUUUAUAGUUGGAAAGUAUCACCUGACCAGCUGAGGCCUGUUUAUGCAGGGGAUUUUCCUUGGCUGAUAUGGCUAGUCUUCUUGCAGUUUCUUCAUUCCUUUAGUCAGGGUUUGGUGGUAACACAUAGGUUGAAUUCUCACCUGACAUUUCUCAGGUCACCAUUCUAGAAAAGGAGAGAUCACAUGGUGAAGAUGAUGAUGAAACAGAGCAACAUAACCAAUCUUAUUUUGCUCCAUGCUGAUAUCCUUGGAAUAAGUGAAUACUUAUCUGCCCUUUCACAAUAAACGUCAAGAAAUCACUGAAAGGAGAGGUGCCAUUCAACCCUGUGAUGGAAUAUAGAAAUUGUCCCCUCUGCCUCAGCCCUUAUAGAUACUUAUGUAAAAAGUUAUGAGAAGUCUGUGUGCCUUCUAAUCCUGUCAUGACAAGAUCAUGCUUAUUUAUGAGCCCUGAAUAUAAGGAAGGAUACCUGUAUCAGCACAUUUAUAUUUUUGAUAGAGGGUUAGGUAGAAAAUAAAGCCAUGAAUCAUGUGACCGGUAUGUCAGCCGUAUCAUUCUAAAGAGCUAGUUGAUGACAAGGCAAAACUUGCUUAUUUACUGAGGCAUGAGGAGAGUAAGCUUCUUAUUUAUAUUAUUAUUUUUUAAAUUCUACUCUAUCUUUACAUCAAAUUCAUGCUCAAAAUGUCUAGUGGUGUGAUUCCUUCUUAAAACCUCCUGUGACACUGAACAGCCCAAAUCUCUUAUGCAUGUUUUAGAAGGGUUUGAAUCCCCGUGACGGGGUGAGCUCCCGUUGUUCUGUUCCAGUUACUGCCAACGUAGCAGUUCGAAAGCAUAUCAGUGCGAGUAGAUAAAUAGGUACUGCUGUAAUGGGAAGGUAAACAGCAUUUCCCUGGCUUCCAUCACGGUGUUCCAUUCCACCAGAAGUGGUUUAGUCCUGCUGGCCACAUGACCUGGAUCUGUCUGUGGACAAACACCGGCUUCCUUGGCCUGAAGUGAGAUGAGCGCUGCGACCCCAUAGUCAAGUUUGACGGACUUAACUAUCCAGGAGUCCUUUACCUUUACCUUUUACCUAGUCAAUGCAUAGAUUUAUGUGCAGCCUGGGAAGAGGAAUCACCAGAAAGACCUGCCAUCUUCCUUUUCUUUUCCACUGCACCAAAUACCACUUCCGUGUUACAGCCCUUCCCCUUCUUCAGGAAGGAAAGAUCUUUGGUUUCUCUAGGAUGCUACAACAUAGAAAAAAGUUUGUGCAGCUCCUAGAGAGACAAGCUGGAUGUUCUGGUUUUUGGGCCAGUCUAAAAGAGUUUUCCACACAAACUGCAAAACAAGGAGAAGGCUGGAAUGGGGAUCCAAACGAGAGAGAAUGGCAAACUCAAGGGGAGAUGGGCUGCAGGAGAGGGAAUGGUUGAAAGAAAAAAGGUCGGAGGGAAUGGGAUGAGAGGGCCGGAUCAAGAGGGAGGGCAGAGAGUGAGGGGGAAAAGAUCAACUGGAUCCAGCAGGUGGAAAUGAAACUUCCUUCAAAACAUUUCUUAUGCUCCACUCAUUUUUUAAAUGUGAAUUAAGCUAAUUGAAGCAACCCCUACUGACACAACACUAUUGUCCCAUUAGAAUCCUUCAGUCUGUGGAUAUGAAAUAUGAUUAAAAUUCUUCUUGCUCCAUUUUAACCCAUUUCUGUCAACCUGGGGGACAAACAAACAGUCACAAUUGUGGUUUUGGUAGUUGGCUUGUUGACAAGCUUUGUAAUGAGAAUGCAAAGAAAAGAAUUAACACCAUCUCCACUACUGGUGCCUCAGGAACAAAAAAGUGCUGUGGACUUUAUUGCCCUCUUACACUGGGUGGAAAUGAUACUGAAGAAAAUGAAUAAAGUACCGUAUUUUUCGCUCUAUAACACGCACCCGACCAUAACACACACGUAGUUUUUAGAGGAGGAAAAUCCGUAGGCAUGCCACCCGUAGGCAUUCCCUCCAUAACACGCACAGACAUUUCCCCUUACUUUCUGGGAGGAAAAAAGUGGGUGCUAUGGUGCAAAAAAUACGGUAAUUGAAAAUGUUGGUGCUUUCAUGAAAACAAACCUGUGCUGUUUCUUGCCAGCUCUAGGUGCUCAUUCACAAACACAGUUGAUGGAAUAAAUGCAUUCAGAUCUCUUAAAAGACACGUGACUUCCAGAUGAAGCACCUGGGACUUCAGAGAAAAUAAAAGGUUCAAAGCUUGUCUGUGAUCACAGGCUUUUGGGUUUGAUCCAGCACAAUGGAAUCAACUGCAACGGCCCCAUUGUCUUUGAGGAUGCAAGUGUAAUUCCAGCGCACAAGCUUUUACAUGACCCUUAGGCAAGUUAUUUAUAGCCUCCAUUGCAACUCUGUUCUACCUCUGACAGGCAGAAGGCUGCCCUGCCUUAACGGUUGGGCAAGGUGGCCCUUUCUGGGUCAGGAACUCAACUCUUCAAGGGUCUCCAACUGUGAGCCUUGAAGAGAAUGGUAGAGAGCCAGUGGAUGAGGCUGUGCAUUUAGAGCCAUGAAAGGUUUCCUUAACAGAGGCUGACAUUCUGUUUUAUACUGUAAGCAAAAUGACAUACCUUCAUGUAUCCUUCUGCCUCUUUGGGGUACAGAGCCUUGUGAAUAAAGCAUGUGGAAUAAAGCAGUGGUUUCCAAACUAUGUUUUUGAGGGGCAUUGGAGCCAACUCCUUGGGGCCAAGUGCCUUUGCCCCCCCUUAAAAUAUUUGAGUGGGCCAGGACCUGUGCACUGCAUCUUGUGAUCAAGUGUGUAAGCUUUUAGAGGUCUGUUAAAUCAAAAGACCUCUAACGACAAUCUUCCCUUAAUAACUGCUUGCCCACCCCUACUAAUCUGCCCUCACAAACUGCAGCUUUGGAGGAGAUUGGGGUGUGUUCUAGGUUUCAGUCAUCAUGGAUAACAGGCCUGGCCAAUAUCUCACAAGAAUCGUGCUUAAGAAUGUUAGCCCAAAUCCUGGGCAGCACAGGACAGAUGUGUUGGGGGUUCCUCAGUAGGCAAGUCAGUAUGGAAAGGGUUCUCUGAAGAGGGGAAGUUUGAAAAUACUUUCUCUACAGAGAACACUUAGGUUGGGGGCACUUUAAAAAGCGCUGGCAUUUGCUGCAGAACUUUGACUCUACUUUCCCCUCCUCCAAAACAGGGGUACGUGGCCAUUGCAAGUGCUGCUGGCCUCAACUGAAUUUCUGGUUCAGGUAGAGCAAGUGGUCAUUCACAAUGCAUGACCUUAGCAGCAGACGGCAUCCUCUGGGAGAGCGGAAAUAAUGGGGAGUGCAGAAACAUGGCCACUGUUUCAUUUCAAAGUGUUGGAGUGGAGAUAGGAGCAGCCUGCCACCACACAUUAAAAUGUUAAAUAAACAGAAAAGCAGAUGUUUCUGCAGCUCACUGCUAAGGAAAUCGCCUCUGCAUCACAUGAACUGGUUUGGGGUUCCUAAUACCCCAGGACAAGGCAACAAGCUGGCUGCUCCCUGAAUUUGCCAUCUUCAGGCAGCUGUGAAGUGUUUGCUGUAGUCCUAAAUUACACUCGCACUGUUCAGCCCAGAUUAGCUCCCAAAGCACCACACUGCAAUUAUAAUUCAACACAAAGGGAUAAUAUAUUAGGAGUGUGUAUGACAGUCUCUUCUGGCUUCUGCCAGUUGACCAUAUAAUGCAGGAUCUGGGCUUUUCCACUGUGGGCUAGACUGCAAGGCUCAUUAGUGGUAAAGGCUGCUCUUCCACAAGGUCCUUGUGAUCCACAAGGAAUCAUGCUACUACUAUUUCAUCAUCAGAUUAUUGCUCUGUGACAGCUUCCUGCUCUCCUCCUUGGGAGGAAUAAUAGUCAAGCAUAUUCUGGAGCCAUAAGAAUGGCUUAUUGCACUUGCAGUAGCACCCAGCUCAGAUCACCCAGAGAGUCACAUCCGUACUUUAGCUAACUUGAGAGGGCUGGUUGGAUCCUUGGAGCUUAUAUGCUUGCUUUUUAUUUGUACACUGGUUGAAGCAACCCCUUUGUGGAGAGAGAAAGCAGGGUAUACAUUUGUGAAUGAAACAAAUAAAAUUUUUUAAGUGCUGGAAAGCCUUUUUAAAAAUGCAGUGUUUCCUCUGUCUUUUCUUUUAAACCAUUCUGCUACCCAUCUUUAUCUUUCUGCACCCUAAAGCAUGCACUUGAUUCCUUCUCUGCACUACUUCACAAAAUGUUUGCCUGCCCCCCUUGUCUGCUUAGUCAUCUCUCCUGCUCUUCCCAUUCCAUAAUGCCUGGUCUCUUCUCUGUGCUUCACAGCCUUUGCCCUCUUUCCUUUGUGUCUCUCUGGACCAAGUCUCUACCCCACCAAUUCUCCACAGGUCUGUCUGUGUCACCAUUUCUCAACUACCCCGCUUAUUUUUUCUGCGUCCCAGAGGUUAUUCUGCUCCAGCAUAUGCCUCCUGAUCUCUGCUCCCCUCCCCCCUUCCAUUUCCCCACCCCACCAAACCCUCUUUCAUAUAUAUUCUUCCUGUGCUUACCACUAUGCCGUUCCCUUCCGUUCUGCACCUUCAUUAAAAAUGCUGUGAUGUGGAACAACCGCACCACACUAAUAUGCAGCCAAGAAUAAGUCUGACUUAAUUCCUAGUCUAAAAAUGGCAAUAGUUACCUUCCAAAAUGUCAGAUAAUCUGGCAUUUCUGAUUAGAGUGCUUGUUGAAGCAUCUGUCCCACGUGACCUCCUUUCAAGUAGCUCAAAGUCAUUGUUUUUAUAUCUAAAAUGAAUAACCAGCCCUCCCUCAUUUUUCAAGGAAAUUAUGCUGGCAGUAUUUUUUCUCCUGUAGGUUACCUUCUAUAAUUGAACUGCUAGGGAUGUCUGUCAUAUAAAGAGAAAGCUUGGUUUAUCCCAGCCUUUGAUGAGUUGGAGAGAAUGUCUGGUCAACUAACAUUUUGGGAUUAAAGGGGACUAAAAGACCUAGAGACGCAUCACAUCCAUAACAAAAUGCUGUGCUAUGCAAAGUCCAGACUGGCUUCACUGUUUGUGGAGCUAUAGAUGAUGCCUAUUGCUCUGGAGGUACUCUUUUCCGUGAUUAAAUUCACAUUUCAUUUUUUUGCCAUGCCACGCCUCUCUGUCAAUUCAACUUCCCAAGGCAUAAAGAGUUACAUCAAGGAAAGAAACUCACUGUGCAACCCUAGUCAUGUCUACUUGGAAGUAAGUUGCAUUAUGUUCAUUGGGCGUUUCUUCCUGGAACAUGCGUCAUGGAUUGCAGCUGAUGGUUCCUUUUAUCUGCAUAUUUCACCUGCCAAUUUAUGGGAUUGCAAAUACCUCUGCAUACUGAGGUGUGUAGAAAACUUAUGUUACAGAAACUUCCUUUACAGAAUAACAAAAUAGUACACGUGGAAGAGCAGGGGAAAGCAAAGAAAGUAUGAGCCACUGCUCUGGGUGUGCGUAUAUUGGAUCAGUCAGUCAUCUCUGAUUCAUUGGUUGCCCAGUUUGCAGCACAUAGGGAAGCCAAAUGGAAAUGGGCUCAUACUUUUAAAUACUCUGAAGGAGUGCAACUAAAACAUGCCUCCAAUUUUAACUCAGAAAAAAAGUGUGCCCCACUUAGCAGAUGUUUGGGAAACACUGUACCUUAUGUUGAACAGCCCACAUUGAUAUCAAAGGCAGCAACUAUUUUGCUCUAAUUGUUUCUUCAAUUCAAAUAUGUUAAUAAAAGACAACUGAAAAUGUCCAUUGUAAAACAAUUUGCAAUAAAUUCUGCAAUUUAAUUUCCCUUCCCACCUGCC